UCUACCCAAUCGGUACCUAUAUAAAAACUUUAGUAAAAAAUUUUAUGUUUUAAGAACAAAUGUUUUUAGGCCUACCAUGCAGCUUUUCGGUAUUUUUGUUCACUUUUCAAAACAUUAAUGAAUUGUUUAACUAUGAAAUUAUCGUAAAUAGAUUAAAUGAUUGUGUGAAAACUUAAACAUUUAAUUAGCUUAACGAAUUUAACUGCAUUAAAGGUUUUGUCGAGUUCGGUAACUUAUCGCUCCACAUUACACCCACCACAUGGAAGAGUGAUACAUGUCGACGCCACCCAGUGUAAAGUGCCUGCCCAGCAGAAGAUCGAACUCGUGCAUCAACGAGGCAUUCACCCGCGGCGGAUUCAUGGCAGCAUAUGUGGUAACCGCAUCCGGGGACAUGCACAUGUCAAUGAAUCGAGUCUUGCCCACCACACAGCGACAGUGUCCCUCGGCAUUGCAAUAGCCAUUUUCGCAUCUCUGGUAGCUGCUGAAGGGGCCUGGAACAACGGCACAACCGCACACAUUGGGUGCAAUGCAUCGGCCAUAGAAGCCGCAGCCACGAUCACAGACCGCCUCACAACGCUGUCGAUUCCUCACAUAGCCAUUGAAGCAGCGACAAUUUCCCGGGGAAAUGCAAACCCCAUUUUCACAGUCGUCUCCACAGUCCGGCAGGCAGCUGGUCGUGUUCUGAUCGUAUCGAUAGCCAUUUUGACACACACAGGUUGUGCGAUUUGCACAGAAGCCAUUCUCACAUCGA